AAGAGUGUAUAAGACACUGCUAACGUCUUUAACCCAGUUCUAAUCCAUCUGGCACUCUU
rnacentral:tRNA from 1 species